ensembl:snRNA U4 U4 spliceosomal RNA
AGCUUUGCACAGUGGCAGUAUCAUAGCCAAUGGAGUUUAUCCAAGGCAUGAUUAUUGCCAGUUGAAAACUUUUCCCAAUACCCCACCAUGACAACUUGAAAUAUAGCCGGCGUUGGCAAUUUUUGGCAGUCUCUACAGAGA